rnacentral:lncRNA from 1 species
UUCUGUCUCAGUCACCGUGUGAUCGGCACGGUUUUGAUCCCAACCUGAUCGAAUAGGCCCAAUCCACGAGGUGUUCACUCGCUUAAUGGUUCUCAAUGCUCAUGUAUCAUACCUUAGCAUGGCUAAGUAAAUUUUCAACAACGAGACCCUCGUCUCAUGUGCUCCCUACUUUGGCACAAGUAGUUUCAGGAAGUCACGCAUUGGUCAGAGGACCCUCGGCCUGGACGAUGACCCCUUCUCAGAAUAAAGGAUACUCCCCAAAAAACUUUUCUUUCUAAAACUUCUUCUUGUGACUUAUCAAGUCUAAAUCUUUUCUUUAUAGGACAUUAUGUACAUGCUCAUAUUGGUGUCCUUAAAUGUAAAGUAUGGCAUAAGAAUGAAAUAAACAUAUAAAAAUACUUUUAAAGAUUCUUUCUUCUUCAUAAUUUUCAACAUGAGAAUAGCAUAUAAGAAUAACACAAAAUUUUGAAAAUUUAAGCACAUAUAGCAUAAUAGGUCAUCUAAACCUUUGCUAGAACAAUUCUAAAUUAAUGGGUACUCACUCGCUCUAAUUAAAUAAAGAUAACUUCUUUUAAGAAAAGUCAUCUAAACUUUUUCUAGAACAAUUCUAAAUUAAUGGGUACUCACUCGCUCUAAUUAAAUAAAGAUAACUUCUUUUAAGUAAUUUAUCAAACACCUUGUAUGCGUGCUUUUGUGAGUUAACCACUUUAGUAAAGGGUUAUAUCAACUCACCUCAAAACUUCUGGAGCCAAUACAUAGACUCUAGUCCAAUUUAUACCGUCAAACAAUUGAUUCUACAACAACCAGUGUAUAUUUUCAAGUACUACACCUAAUUAUGAAAUUUAUUGUUGAUAUAGGGAAUAGGGAAUUAGCUAUUCAAUUCUUACCUAUUACUACUUUAGGGUAAUUGAAAAUAGGGAAUUUUAUAUACCUGAAUUUAAGAAUUAGUGAUUUGUAAAGAACCCUUGAAUCUUUCCGUGUUGUCUGCGUGAAAUAUUGCCUGGGUUUUAACUUAACUAGUAUUACUUAUACAUAACAUACUUUUAAUAUUUAAUAAUAACAAAAUUAUCAAUAUUCUUCUAAC